AUGCCCUCUUUGCUGUCCGCCCACCUCUCCCUGUACAUGUUCAUGCUCUGUUGCUAUAUGCUCUGCUGCUAUAUGUUCCGAAAAGAGAUGCAGAAAUGCUUUGCUGCUAUAUGCUUUGCUGCUAUAUGUUCAGAAAAGAGAUGUAGAUGUUACAGUACAUGCUCUGCUGCUAUAUGCUCUGGUGCUAUAUGUUCAGAAAAGAGAUGUAUAUGUUUAGUAUAUGCUAUGAUGCUAUAUGUUCAGUACAUGCUCUGCUCCUAUAUGUUCAGAAAAGACAUGAAUAUUGCUAUUGCAGUAUUGCUACAAGUUGAUUGA
rnacentral:rRNA from 1 species